GGGCCGGUAGCUCAGUUGGUAGAGCGGGCGUCUUAUACACGCCUGGUCAUAGGUUCGAGUCCUAUCCGGCCCACCA
rnacentral:tRNA from 1 species